GCGACACUUUCCAGAGAUGGAUUGGUGCCUUCGGGAACUGUGAGACAGGUGCUGCAUGGCUGUCGUCAGCUCGUGUUGUGAAAUGUUGGGUUAAGUCCCGCAACGAGCGCAACCCUUAUCCUUUGUUGCCAGCGGUCCGGCCGGGAACUCAAAGGAGACUGCCAGUGAUAAACUGGAGGAAGGUGGGGAUGACGUCAAGUCAUCAUGGCCCUUACGGCCAGGGCUACACACGUGCUACAAUGGCGCAUACAAAGAGAAGCGACCUCGCGAGAGCAAGCGGACCUCAUAAAGUGCGUCGUAGUCCGGAUUGGAGUCUGCAACUCGACUCCAUGAAGUCGGAAUCGCUAGUAAUCGUGGAUCAGAAUGCCACGGUGAAUACGUUCCCGGGCCUUGUACACACCGCCCGUCACACCAUGGGAGUGGGUUGCAAAAGAAGUAGGUAGCUUAACCUUCG
rnacentral:rRNA from 1 species